rnacentral:lncRNA from 1 species
ACUUGCUUUGGAGUUUGGUUUCUGUUUCAUAUGAUGCUCUUGUUCUCUUUUCAGGUGAAGCUAUCAAUGGGCCACGAUUAUUCUUACUCGUGGGAUUCAUCUGACGAGCAAAGUCACCACUACACAGAUGACACCGUAGAGAUGGAGACUGAUGCAUACAUAUUGAUGGAUGAAGAGAACNNNNNNNNNNNNNNNNNNNNAAUGAACCACAGAUUGAGGUUGGCUUCCCCAACCUCUGUUAUUGUGGUGGUCAGCCAAUACUAAAGACCUCUUACACUCGGAAUGAUCCUGGGAGAAAGUAUGUGUGUGUUUACUGAUUUAGGUUUCUUAUUUCAUUUUACUUAUGACAGUUUUCUCACUUGAAAGGUUUUCUGUUUCACAGGUACUAUACAUGCGAGAAUGUUGGUGAUGGAAACUGUCAUCUCCACAAGUGGUGGGAUGUUGCUUUGAUGGAAGAGAUGACUGAAAGGGCAAGAGUAGUUAAUGAGAUGAGAGAACAAGAGAGUAAAAGUGAGGAGAAUGUUCUUAAGCUUCAGAAGCUAGUAGAUAAGUUGGGAGAUGAGGUGCAGAGAAGUAGAGUAACAUUAACAAUGGUUCUUGGUGUCAGCGUUUGUGUUUUGGCCAUUAUGAUUUCAUUAGUUGGUUUAAGUAGGUUGUAAGUUGUAUUAUGGGAAAUACAUUUCAGACUGGUUUGAUGCUCCCUUGUAGUAUAGAUGGUAUGAACUCUAGUUGUGACUUUAUGAGUCACAUGACUUNNNNNNNNNNUUUAUGAGUCACAUGACUUUGUAUUCUUCUGAUAAUUGAAAGAGAAGAAUGGAUUAUUGCCACUUUAUGUGAGUGUAUAUUUUGUUUUCUGUCCUUCUUCGCAUUAUUUACUACUCCACUAGCCAAGACACGAAUCACAUGUAUUUGUAUGUUUCUCUCAUGACAAUCCUAUAAAAUCCCAUUUUCUUUCAACACUUGAAACACAAUCUCUCUCGUUUCCUAUCUACAAAAACUUUUUUAAAAAUUCAAAUCAUCUCAUAAGUUUUAAAAAUUCAAAUCAUCUCAUUUCCUUUCUACUCUCAGAAAGUUUUUUAAAAAUCAAAUAAUCUCAAUUUCUUUCUACUCUAUCUUUCUACUCUCUCAACUUCAACAUUUUUAAAAAAUCAAAGCAAGCCACAAACACAAUCUAUCCUUUCUAUAUUGUUCUCUUCUCGUUCAUCCUCAUCGACAUUAUAA